AACGAACGCUGGCGGCAAGCUUAACACAUGCAAGUCGAACGGGUGUAGCAAUACAUCAGUGGCAGACGGGUGAGUAACACGUGGGAACCUUCCUAGGGGUACGGAACAACUCAGGGAAACUUGAGCUAAUACCGUAUACGUCCGUGAGGAGAAAGAUUUAUCGCCCUUAGACGGGCCCGCGUCGGAUUAGCUAGUUGGUGGGGUAACGGCCUACCAAGGCGACGAUCCGUAGCUGAUCUUAGAGGAUGAUCAGCCACACUGGGACUGAGACACGGCCCAGACUCCUACGGGCGGCAGCAGUGGGGAAUCUUGGACAAUGGGCGCAAGCCUGAUCCAGCCAUGCCGCGUGAGUGAAGAAGGUCUUCGGAUUGUAAAGCUCUUUUGCCAGGGACGAUAAUGACGGUACCUGGAGAAUAAGCCCCGGCAAACUUCGUGCCAGCCGCCGCCGUAA
rnacentral:rRNA from 1 species